rfam:Methanocella paludicola SANAE DNA, complete genome.
GCCUCUGUGGCUCAGCCUGGUAGAGCGGCUGACUUGUAAUCAGCAGGUCGCGAGUUCAAAUCUCGCCGGGGGCU